rnacentral:piRNA from 1 species
UAAUGCUGGAAGAACUCAACUGUACAAGUGU